UGGGAGUCGCAGUUCGUCCGGGGCAACUUCUGCCUCUCAGGCUGGUUGCAGCCGGCGCCCCGGGCCAGCGCAGCCUGGGCCCCAGCCAUCCUGCCCCCUCUCCGGCCGGGAGAAGCGGGCGCUGGGCUCUGGGGCUCCCUGAGCCCGCGGAGGCCAGCGCCCAGGGCGCACAAGAAGAGCAGGGGUGGAAGAAGAAAGGAAUUUCAAGGAGGGCAUUGCUUAAAGGGACGUUUGGACAGAGCCAGUUUCGGUGCUGGGCCGCAGCUCAGUGCCUAAUUUUAAUCUCAGGACUGCAGCCUGCGACCCGUGGACGGUCUCCUCAAACUUCUUCCCUCACACCCGAGUCUCUUCCUCCCUAGGAGUCUCCUGGUGCAUGGAACUGACCUGAAACUGGGGUUCCCCAAAGCCUCUGCCUGCCUUCUGCAGCUGAGCUGCUUCAGCCUCUCUGGGACACCCAUUUGAAGGAACCUGUCCAAAUCCAUGUAAGAGAUCUUGUAUUUUUUCCCUCCCAGCUGAGACUUCCUCCUCUGCCAGACACCUGUUCCAAGGAAGCUCCUGCAACUAGGGUGUGGGCUUGUGUCGUGAAGGUUGAGUAUCCAGGGUGACAGUGAAGAAUCCAUACUCCCACCCAAGAGUGGAUUUCAGUGCUGAGAGGAAGAGGAGGAAGACAUCUUGCUGGCUUGUGCCCCAGGUCUGCCUCUGGAGAAACAGGGCAAGCUGGCCCAUGGAACAUGUCACACUCUUGCAACCGGGGCACCUGAUCAGGCUGGAUGUGCCCAUCAGAUGCUGAAGGCACAGCUGCGUCCCUGCCCUGAGGUGAGUCCAUUUGGCCAGAGCAGGAGCGGUGCCCUGUCUCCAACCCAAAUCCAUAAGCAUGUUCUGAGUGUUCCAACUCUUUCUUCAACUCCAUCCCUGAGCCCGGAGUCUCAGCCAGGCGUCUGCCAGGGGCUCUGCCUGGGCUGGGGUUCAGCCUGGUGACCUUCAGUCUAACACCACCUCUCAGCCCUUCCUCCUGUUUCUCAGGAGCCCUAGAAGCUACCCUGGCCUGGGGCCCGGGAAGCUCCAUUUUGUUUCUCCUCAGCUGGGGAGCUGAACGAAUGCCCUCGACACUGGGGUCUUUCUCUCUCAGUCCCCCAGAGCGCUCACCCCAACUUACCCCGCCUCAGUACAUAAAAACCUCUGCAUCCCCCCCAUGGGUACCGAGAGCCUCCUUUAAAUCAGUCCCAGCUGCCUUCCCGCUCAGGACCUUCCCCUAGUUCUGCUCCUUGAAACCGCGAUUGCAGACAGGACAUAGAGGUUCAGAGGGAAGGGGAACAAAGACAUUUGGGGAGAACUCCUGAAAGAUAAAGCCCAGGGAAUCCUGUCUGGCCCCCCAAAUAGCACCACUUUUACAAGCUCCAUUCACGACCACUGGCCCCUUUGGACACGUGAUGCCUUUACAGAGGCUGCAGGUUUGGUAGUUUCAAGGCGAAGAUUCAAGACAGAUAUUGGGGGUCCAGUGUCCUUGCCCCUUGAGAAACAAAAAGCAAACCAACCCCAGAGAACACGUCCACCUCUCUGGCCCCUGGGCAACCAGAGCUGGAUGGACCUACCCAUCAGAUGCAGAAGACACACAUCUUUCUGUUCCCCGAGGUCAGUCAAUUUGUGCCAGAGAGUCAUCUUAACACAUCCUAGGGCUCCCACUAACCCCUCUUGGCACCACCUCGUAGCCUGGAGGUGCAGCCAGGGGGCUUCAGAUGGGCUUUGUCUGUGCUCUGGCCCCUCCCGGAGGUCAUCUCCCCUACCACUGACUCUCAGCCUUUCCUCCGGUUUCCCUCAGCGGCCCCCCAGGGCUCUCCUGGCCUUGGGCAGCUGCCAGCUUGAUGGAAUUCCUCCUCACCUUCUAAGCCCAGUGAAGUGCCCAGAGAGAGGGGUAGAUUCUCAAAGACUCCCAGCACGCACCCCCCACCCCAACGUAAGGCCUUCAACCCUCUGUUUUCUCCACCCACAUGUGCCAUGAGAG
rnacentral:lncRNA from 1 species